rnacentral:tRNA from 1 species
CGCGCGGGAUAAAAAUGAGAACUGGACAUCAGGCUCAUAACCUGAAGGCCGCAGGUUCAAAUCCUGCCCGCGCAACCA